GUGGCGAACGGGUGAGUAAUACAUCGGAACGUGCCCGAGAGUGGGGGAUAACGAGGCGAAAGCUUUGCUAAUACCGCAUACGAUCUCAGGAUGAAAGCAGGGGACCGCAAGGCCUUGCGCUAACGGAGCGGCCGAUGGCAGAUUAGGUAGUUGGUGGGAUAAAAGCUUACCAAGCCGACGAUCUGUAGCUGGUCUGAGAGGAUGAUCAGCCACACUGGGACUGAGACACGGCCCAGACUCCUACGGGAGGCAGCAGUGGGGAAUUUUGGACAAUGGGGGCAACCCUGAUCCAGCCAUGCCGCGUGCAGGAUGAAGGCCUUCGGGUUGUAAACUGCUUUUGUACGGAACGAAAAGGCUCUUUCUAAUAAAUGGGGCUCAUGACGGUACCGUAAGAAUAAGCACCGGCUAACUACGUGCCAGCAGCCGCGGUAAUACGUAGGGUGCGAGCGUUAAUCGGAAUUACUGGGCGUAAAGCGUGCGCAGGCGGUUUUGUAAGACAGAGGUGAAAUCCCCGGGCUCAACCUGGGAACUGCCUUUGUGACUGCAAGGCUGGAGUGCGGCAGAGGGGGAUGGAAUUCCGCGUGUAGCAGUGAAAUGCGUAGAUAUGCGGAGGAACACCGAUGGCGAAGGCAAUCCCCUGGGCCUGCACUGA
rnacentral:rRNA from 1 species